ACGCUGGCGGCGUGCUUAACACAUGCAAGUCGAACGGAAAGGCCCUGCUUUUGUGGGGUGCUCGAGUGGCGAACGGGUGAGUAACACGUGAGUAACCUGCCCUUGACUUUGGGAUAACUUCAGGAAACUGGGGCUAAUACCGGAUAGGAGCUCCUGCUGCAUGGUGGGGGUUGGAAAGUUUCGGCGGUUGGGGAUGGACUCGCGGCUUAUCAGCUUGUUGGUGGGGUAGUGGCUUACCAAGGCUUUGACGGGUAGCCGGCCUGAGAGGGUGACCGGCCACAUUGGGACUGAGAUACGGCCCAGACUCCUACGGGGGGCAGCAGUGGGGAAUAUUGCACAAUGGGCGGAAGCCUGAUGCAGCAACGCCGCGUGCGGGAUGACGGCCUUCGGGUUGUAAACCGCUUUCGCCUGUGACGAAGCGUGAGUGACGGUAAUGGGUAAAGAAGCACCGGCUAACUACGUGCCAGCAGCCGCGGUGAUACGUACGGUGCGAGCGUUGUCCGGAUUUAUUGGGCGUAAAGGGCUCGUAGGUGGUUGAUCGCGUCGGAAGUGUAAUCUUGGGGCUUAACCCUGAGCGUGCUUUCGAUACGGGUUGACUUGAGGAAGGUAGGGGAGAAUGGAAUUCCUGGUGGAGCGGUGGAAUGCGCAGAUAUCAGGAGGAACACCAGUGGCGAAGGCGGUUCUCUGGGCCUUUCCUGACGCUGAGGAGCGAAAGCGUGGGGAGCGAACAGGCUUAGAUACCCUGGUAGUCCACGCUGUAAACGGUGGGUACUAGGUGUGGGGUCCAUUCCACGGGUUCCGUGCCGUAGCUAACGCUUUAAGUACCCCGCCUGGGGAGUACGGCCGCAAGGCUAAAACUCAAAGGAAUUGACGGGGCCCCGCACAAGCGGCGGAGCAUGCGGAUUAAUUCGAUGCAACGCGUAGAACCUUACCUGGGUUUGACAUGGAUCGGGAGUGCUCAGAGAUGGGUGUGCCUCUUUUGGGGUCGGUUCACAGGUGGUGCAUGGCUGUCGUCAGCUCGUGUCGUGAGAUGUUGGGUUAAGUCCCGCAACGAGCGCAACCCUUGUUCACUGUUGCCAGCACGUUAUGGUGGGGACUCAGUGGAGACCGCCGGGGUCAACUCGGAGGAAGGUGGGGAUGACGUCAAGUCAUCAUGCCCCUUAUGUCCAGGGCUUCACGCAUGCUACAAUGGCUGGUACAGAGAGUGGCGAGCCUGUGAGGGUGAGCGAAUCUCGGAAAGCCGGUCUCAGUUCGGAUUGGGGUCUGCAACUCGACCUCAUGAAGUCGGAGUCGCUAGUAAUCGCAGAUCAGCAACGCUGCGGUGAAUACGUUCCCGGG
rnacentral:rRNA from 1 species